AGAGCCAACCAGGGAUUCUGAGGUGUCUUCCUUGGUUGACUACAUCCAUGAGACGACAAAACACACUGUGCAAAGGACCUUGAGAACAUCACCACUCUACAGGAAGACACAGUCCAGUAAUGGGUGUCAGAUGUUCAGCAGUGGACGACAGGACCAACCAAUCAAAAUGACUUGCAGAACGCCAUUGAGGACUCUAUUUGAGCAUUAAGCAGCAAAUAUUUCAGCUGUAUCGUCAGGCUGGUGAGACAACAAGAUGCCAACUUUAAUGCCAAUUUCUUUGUGUAACAUACUGUGACAAAAUGUAUUGAUUACUAUUUGUAGAUUGUAAAAAUAGC